GUUUAAAUAGCUCAGUUGGUAGAGCAAAGGACUGAAAAUCCUUGUGUCGGCAGUUCGAGCCUGCCUUUAAACA
rnacentral:tRNA from 1 species